UGUGAAAAAAUACCAAUUAAAGCAGAGGGUUUCUUCAAAUAACAAGGAGCAAGGUCAACUAUUCAAUCAAAUGAUAUUAAGCAUUUUUCCCAUCUCUUCUUGAGAAACAAGUGGGCUAUUUCAUUGCAAAUUUGUGCUAAAUUUCAUAUGUGGUAGUUCCACCAAGAUCUCAUCUUUAGUUGGGGGAAGAAUCUACACGAAUUGGAUCUUUUGAGGAACAUAUCAAGAGAGCAUUGGAUUUGGUUAGACAAUAUGUGGUUGGUAAAUAAGGAUCGGUUUUUUAGGAAGGUACAAAAUGUAUAGUCAAAUAUUCAAUAUGAUUCCACAAGAUCCAGUUUUGUUCAAGUAACGGAUUCUAUCUAAUUGAAAUGAUAUUUUAAUCGAUCCAGAGAUCAUUUCAAUUCCAUGAGUAAUGAGGAUUCAUAAUAUCACACAUUGAUCAAUCAAAAAGAGAUUCAACAACUAAGAGAAAGAUCGAUUCUUUAGGAUCCUUCGUUUCUUCAAAUGGAACGAACAGAGAUAGAAUCAGAUUGAUUCCCUAAAUGCCUUUCUGGAUAUUCCUCAAUCUCCUGGCUAUUCAUGGAAUGUGAGAAACAGAUGAAUAAUCAUCUGCUUCUGGAAGAAAUCCUACAAGAUCCAUUCGUUCUUUUUUCUCUGACAGAUGGUCAGAACUUCAUCUUGGUUUGAAUCCUACUGAGAGGUCCACUAGAGAUCAGAAAUUGUUGAAGAAAGAGCAAGAUGUUUCUUUUGUCCUUUCCAGGUGAUUGAAAAAUAAAGAAAUAGUUAACAUAUUGAAGAUAAUUCCAUUUUUACAAAAUACCAUCUCAAUUCAUCAUAUUUCAUCAGAUUCAGGAUGUGAUAUGGUUCCAAAGGAUGAUCUAGAUAGUUCCAAUAAGAUUUCAUUCUUGACCAAAAAUCCAUUUUUUGAUUUAUUUCAUCUAUUCCAUGACCUCAAAAUAACAGGGGUCAAGGUCGGCCAGUGAGACAAUGGGGGAUAAGCUUCAUCGUCGAGAGGGAAACAGCCCGGAUCACCAGCUAAGGACUCUAAAUGACCGCUUAGUGAUAAAGAAGGCAGGGUGUAGAGACAGCCAGAAGGCUUACCUAGAAAUAGUCACCUUUGAAAGAGGGCGUAAUAACUCACUGAUUGAGCACUCUUGCAUCGAAGAUGAACGGGGCUAAGUGAUCUACCGAAGCUGUGGGAUGUAAAAAUGCAUCGGUAGGGGAGCGUUCUGCUUAGUUGGAAGCACCUAUGCAAGCAGUGGCAGACGAAGCAAAAGCGAGAAUGUUGGUUUGAGUAAUGCAAACAUUGGUGAGAAUCGAAUGCCCUGAAAACCUAAGGGUUCCUCCGCAAUGUUCAUCCAUGGAAGGUGAGUCAGGCCUUAAGAUCAGGCCGAAAGGCAUAGUCGAUGGAACACAAAUGACUAUUCUUGUACUACCCCUUGUUGGUCCCAAGGGAUGGAGGAGGCUAGUAUCCGAAAGAAGAUUAUUGGUUUUAGGAUGCAAGUUGCCCCUACUUUUUCAGGGUAAAAAGGGGUAGAGAAAAUGAACCAAGCAAAUGUUUGAGUAUAAGGCACUAUGGUGCUGAAAUAACCCAUGCCAUACUCCAAGGAAAAGCUUGAACGACCUUCAACAAAAGGGUACUUAUACCCAAAACCGACACAGGUGGGUAGGUAGAGAAUAUCUAGGGGCACGAGAUAACUCCCUCUAAGGAACUUAGAAAAAUAGCCCCAUAACUUCGGGAGAAGGGAUUCCUCCUCACAAAGGGGAUCACAGUGACCAGACCCAGGCGACUGUUUACCAAAAACAUAGGUCUCCAUAAAGUUGCAAGAUCAUGUAUAGGAGUUAAUGCGUGCCCAAUGUUGGAAGGUCAAGGAAGUUAGUGACUUGAUGACAGGGGAGCCGGCGACCGAAGCCCCCGUGAAUGGCAACCGUAACUAUAACGGUCCUUAGGUAGCAAAAUUCCUUGUCGGGUAAGUUUCGAACCGUACGAAAGGCUUAACAAUAUGGGCAUUGUUUCGGAGAGAGGCUUAGUGAAAUAGACAUGUUUUUUAAGAUGCUCACUUUUCCCGGGGAUUGGCUUUGGGCCUUUCCUGCGGAGCUUAGGUGGAGGGUGAAGAAUGCCUCCUUCUAGAGGGCCCAAGCCAUCAGUGAGAUACUACUAUGGAAGAGCUAGAAUUCUGACCCUGUGUCAGGACCUACGGGCCAAGGGACAGUCUCAGGUAGAUAGUUUCUUUGGGGUGUAGGCCUCCAAAAUUGUAACAGAGGCAUGCAAAGCUUUCCUCAGGGCAAACGGAGAUUGGCCCUCAAGUGCAAAGGCAGAAGGGAGCUUGACUGCAAGACCCACUCAUCGAGCAGGAAUGAAAGUCGGCCUUAGUGAUCCUACGUUGCGGAGUGGAAGGACCGUUGCUCAAUGGAUAAAAGUUACUCUAUGGAUAACAUGCUGAUCUUCCCCAAUAGCUCACAUCGAUGGGAAACUUUGGUACCUUGAUGUCAACUCUUCGCCAUCUGGGGCUGUAGUACGUUCUAAGGGUUAGGCUAUUCGCCCAUUAAAACAGUAUGUGAGUUGGGUUCAGAAUGUCAUGAGAUAGUUCGGUCCAUGGUGUGGGUGUUAGAGCAUUAAGAGGACCUUUCCCUAGUGAGAUGAACCUAGGACGGCCUGCUCCUCAACCCGUAUUAUAUUAGCUCAGAUCUAAUUAUGUUCAAGUUCUAAUGGUCACCUUGACCCCUAACCAACCUGUGAUGGAUGUCCUAUUGGUACUAAUGGUCACCUUGACCCCUAACUAACAUGUGAUUAGAAACCUUGGUAUAUAAUGAAGAUGCCACUAUAGGUGAUGGAAGGCCUAUUGAUAAGUCAAACUAAAACAC
rnacentral:rRNA from 1 species